CAGCAGAAGAGGAGGGAGGACAUGCUGUAAUUCAAUCUUCCCAGUCUCCUUUAUCAUCUACAGUGGAAGACCAGGACCAGUAAACAGGAAAUACAGAGUGAUUUGCGUGCCACAAAGUGGAAGAAGCUGCCAGCUUCUGUCAUACCUUCCGUUACUCAGGCAAUACCGGAGAAG